rnacentral:rRNA from 1 species
CAGCCGCCGCGGGAAUACAGAGGGUGCGAGCGUUAAUCGGAUUUACUGGGCGUAAAGCGUGCGUAGGCGGCUAAUUGAGUCGGAUGUGAAAUCCCCGAGCUUAACUUGGGAAUUGCAUUCGAUACUGGUUAGCUAGAGUGUGGGAGAGGAUGGUAGAAUUCCAGGUGUAGCGGUGAAAUGCGUAGAGAUCUGGAGGAAUACCGAUGGCGAAGGCAGCCAUCUGGCCUAACACUGACGCUGAGGUACGAAAGCAUGGGGAGCAAACAGGAUUAGAUACCCCUGUAGUCCCUGUCUCUUAUAC